rnacentral:lncRNA from 1 species
UCCUUCUGGUGGGUUCGUGGUCUCGCUGGCUCGGGAGUGAAGCUGCAGACGUUUGCGGAACUCGUGAGUUAUGACAAAAAGAUAUUAUGACUCCCAUGCAGCGGAUGAAGACAUUGAUGCCCAUGAAAGGUAAUUCAGUUCCAACCCCUUCAGUGACAGCAGAGAGACCCAGGCCACCUUCCUUGAGGAUUUCGGAGCUGCAGCCCACAGCCAGGGCCAGAGUGGACUCAGCUCUCCAACCCACGUUAGGUUUUGCCGCCAUAAAAUGAACCAGGGAGCUGUCCAACAUCCUACCAUAUAAAACAAUCCACUCCUAAGUUGUACUUCAGUAACAAAACGAAUCUCUCUUUAACGAUGUCUCCUUCAUCAACUUUCCAAAAAUCCCAUGAAUCUCUGCGACUAAAGAUUUCCCCAGACGCUCCCAGGUUCCUCCUGAUCUGCAGCAUUGUCGUCCCUGCCACUGACCAGGAAGCCCUCUGUGCUCCCAUAGCCCCUUCAGAAACCUGUGACUUCCUGAGUCCUAAGUCUUCAGCAGAAACAGCAGCUGCCCCACGCCUUGAGCGGCAGCAGGACCCUUUCUGCCCUGAUCUCCACUCAGCGCUGGAAGCCUGGCUCACAUUCUCUCUACUCACAUCAGCCUGAUGUCUUCAAGCCAGGAUUUCUUGGGGUUUAUCUCACCAGAUGCAAUCAACUCAAGUUCCCUCUGUGGCGCCUUCUCAUUCCCUUAUGCCAAGUCACACUAAAAUACUUGAGAACAGUAUCCAUAAAACGUUCUGAUAUGAUUUUCUUGUUCUAAUUUACAUACUGUGAAUCUGUAAACACAAGACGGAGA